AUGCGGCAUGGUCCAGGGUUGAUUUUCAAAGAGAUGUCCACAAGCUCAUUUGAAAGCCUACUGCUUCCUCUCUGUGAAUGUGUUCUGCUUCAGUCCCCUCCGGGUGAACUUCCUAAUCGCUCGCUUUUUGUAAUGAGAGGUUUGGUCAGUUGGCUGCACAGUGCUGUAAAUGAACACUUAUUCCUCCCUCAGAAAUUACAACUAUCUUCCACAGUCGCAGAAUGCAGGAAGAACCAGGUGUUGAGAUCUCAGCAGGUGUGAGGACAAAGCCACCUGAUGCAAAGGUGUUUAUUUUGUCAGUUUGACUUCAGCUUUUAAAAUUGUUAUAGAUAAAUAUUUCAAUUUCUAUUUUUUUAUUUUAUUUUUGUUCUUAUUUGUCUUUGUUUCCUAUCCCUGUCAUUAUUUUGAAUUAAUUUGCCUUGAAUUUUAUUGUUUUAUUUCAAAUAUAACCUAUUCAUUUCAUACAAAGCAUAUACAGUGAGGUUUAAAACUCCACUUGAAAAAAAUGCUUCUAUUUUGCAUUUACGUAUUUUUCCAUUAAAAAAUUGUUUUAUCAGCAUAACAAUUGAUGAACACUUAAUUAUUGAAACAGAAGAUUUUCCCUUUUACCACAUUUUGCUUUAAUGACGGCAGAACCCAAGCUGAUGUGAAAAAAGCUUGAAGAUCAUGUUUUCCAGCAUGAUUUGAGAAUGUUUUAAAGAGCAUCUUGAGCUUUAAAUGGGAUUUGCAGUUCCAGAUUUUCAGUGUGAACCCUUGAACCUCACUUUACGUUCUUUAGUUUUCAUUAUUCAUAUACUCAACAUUUGUAUUUCAGCUACUGUAUCUGUGCACACCAUUUUUUAAAAAGCACUUUUUAUUAUAAAUUUAAAAAUCCCUUCCGAUCAUGUUUUACAAUGUACAAUAUGGCACUUUGUUUCCAUAGGGAUACUGAUGGAUGAGUGUUGAUUUCCGAGCCUCCUGAUAAUGUAGUUACUAACAUAUUUCCUAUUUUCAUUUCCCCCUCUUCCCACAGAGAUUAAAGCAUCUUUUUAGCGGCGCAGAGCGGAGCAACAUUGCACUUCCUCAUACAUCAUGUGUGUCAACACUCAAAUCUACUGCAUUGAAAAUUGCCCCACAAAUCAGCAAGCAAUAAAGGAAACAGAGCGUUGAAAAAACACAUUUUUACAAUUACGUGCAGCUGUUUGUGGAUCUGUGUAUUGAGCAUAAAACAAUUUAAGUUUGAAUGUCUAAUAGAGAAAAGAAAAAGCAAAUCUACAGUUACUCAAAUUCAGAUGAAUCCAAACCAACACUGAAAGCUGUUUAAAAUAUGUCUGUUAACCUUAGCGCAGGUUAUCCCAUCGCGUGUCUGGCCUGGUAACUAUACAAUGGAUUUUCAUUUGCUGUGUGAUCCAGUGAUUUACAGUACGCACAGUGUGUUUGACCUUAAUACAAACAUCUGGCCUCUGUGGAUAUUAUAUCAGGUGAGAAAGUUACCACACACACACACACACACACACACACAAGCACAUUUAGUUAAGCCCAUGCAUUAAAGAGUACAUUUAGAUAUGUGUAAUAGCAUUAAAGGAAUAUUCCAAAUUAUGUCAUCAUUAUGUCAUUCCAAACCCAUGUGACUUUCUUUUUUUCAUGGAACACAGUCAAGAAAAUAAUGUACUUAUCUGACUUUUCCGUGCAAUUACAGUGAACAGAGGCUUGCAAAAAAGAAUGCAAAAGCACCAUUAAAGUAUCAUUAAUGUAGGCAGUAUGACUCGUGUGCUCUGUUUCAAGUCCUCUGAAGUCAUACAAUAGCUUUUUGCGUGGAUCAAAAAUGUAUGUUAUUUUAUGAAAAUCUUUUUCCAGUGACCUGUUAAAGCAAUAGAUCAUACUAAAAGGAGAAUUGGAAGAACUAUCCAAGAUUAAAUGUGUUUCUUCAUUGGAACAGAUUUCGAGAUAUGUAGCAUUACAUCACUUGCUCACCAAUGGAUACUCUGCAGUGAAUGGGUACCGUCAGAAUAAAACUCCAAACAAUGGAUAAAAACAUCACAAUAAUCCAAAAGUAAUCCACACGAUUCUAGUCCAU
ensembl:lncRNA